UACGGGGGGAGCAAGCGUUGUUCGGAAUCACUGGGCGUAAAGGGCGCGUAGGCGGCCAUAUAAGUCGGGGGUGAAAGCCUGUGGCUCAACCACAGAAUUGCCUUCGAUACUGUAUGGCUCGAGACCGGAAGAGGUAAGUGGAACUGCGAGUGUAGAGGUGAAAUUCGUAGAUAUUGGGAAGAACACCGGUGGCGAAGGCGGCGCUCUGGACCGAGACUGACGCUGAGGCGCGAAAGCGUGGGGAGCAAACAGG
rnacentral:rRNA from 1 species